ensembl:snRNA U4 U4 spliceosomal RNA
AACUUUGCACAGUGGCAGUAUCUUAGCCAAUGAGGUUUAUCCAAGGCAAGAUUAUUGCUAAAACAAAUGGCCCUGAAGAGUAGGAAGUAGGAAGUUGAGAAUUUUACACAUGUAC